rnacentral:lncRNA from 1 species
UCGUCCAUGGGGUGGCCUGCCUAUCAAGACAGAGGCGUGGCCCGACAUCGUUAUUGCUCAAAUUCAGUGCGUUUCUCGCAACGGAUUACUGGGAAGAUGAAGCAAUGGCCCUCUUUCCUCUCCAUCAGUACAAUUUUACAGGCUAAUCAACUCGAUGGGCACCUUAGAAAGGUACACAGCCAUGUACGUAUCCGUGAAUCUGAAGCCUUUCAGGGUGUACAGGGUGUACACGUUCUGAAUUUCACAAAGCUACUACUAAUUGCUGUUGGUAAAAACAAACUGGGCUAUGCAUGUCACUCAACAAAGUAUCCUCUUGUACAUAGAAACAUCACAACUACUGACAAAUGCACUGUAUUGUUAUUCUAAGCGUGUUUUGGUGAAAUAUUUGAAUCUUGCUUCAUAGAAAUACACUACUGUCUAAGUUAAUCCACUACAACCAUAUCUGAUAUUGACCAACUACAUCCUGAUCUAAUACAGGCAGAAUCAGGGACCAAAGGAUCAUCUCUUACCGAUGCAUAACCUGUAGAACUCUAUUACCUACAUAAGCUGAUCAACUACAUCCUUGUGUAAUACAAGAUAAUAAAUCAUAAAUCAGCGGACCAUAUGUUCCCGAUGCGAAUGCCUCCUUUUGCGUUGUCCGUUUGAUCAUUAGUAUUUAUUUUCAUCAUUAUGCUAGCAAUCAUGUUCUGAAAUUGCCAACUGCAGUACUGCUCUGCCUACAUCGUAAUAUACAAUGCCUCGCCUAUAAAGUUUGAAGAAUCUUAAAAUAUUUGUUAUACUGGAUCUGCUGCAGAGAGGUUAUCACUCUUCUACGCUGAGCAUGCCGACAGGAGCUUCUUCAACAGUCUGGUGAAGCACACCAUUUUGGGUAUGUAUAAGCCAGCACUGAAUUUUCCUACAUAGCAUGUCAUGGUUCCAAUCAAGUGAAAAGUAACUUUGCAUGAUCAUAGACCUCACUAUACUAUUGUUAUUAUAUUCAUGCGUCUUUAUGGAUAAUCUUUUUGGGUAUUAAUAUGGGAAAAUAAAAGCAGAAUCAACAGUGUGUUUUUACUGCCAUGAUAAACUUUGAUAUAUAGUUUUGAUCUACCCACAUGUUCCAUUAUCUGAAGAAUGGUAUAUGGCUAUAUAGAUUCCACUGGAGAGAAUACAUUAUUCAAUUCCCCCAUGUCAAUGUUAAAUAAUCAUGUAAAGGGAAAGAUAAUAAAAGUGAAAGUGAGUCUAAUGAUAGAAAUUAGUAAGAAAAUGAGAAGUUGAAAACAAAUAAUAUAUAGACUCCAACACUGUCCGCCAAACAAAGAAAAUGAAAAGUUCCUGUUUAUUUCUUGUCACCUAUUUGUUAUAUCUAACAGUAGCAUUUUAUAGAUCAAUUCCUCGCAUAGACCCGCAUUGAGGGAGGAGGACGCAGAGGCCGACAACAAGGAGCGGGUGUGGGUGUUCAUCCUCGCCACUGACCACAAGUGCUGCGAUAAAUUUUGAGAAGAAUUCUAUGCCUCCACUGGUAUGAGCAAAUCACCCGUUGAUUCCUUCUCUCUGUCCAUUGCCUGUUGAAGUAGCUAAUAGAUUGCUUCAGAAUGUUGUGAGCUUGGUUAUUUUACACCGUCUGCUAAUGUUAAGCAAAGAAUGAAGGCUGGAGUGUGUUACAUGUACUCCCUCCGUCCGGAAAUAUUUGUCGCAGAAAUGCAUAAAAAUGGAUGUAUCUAGAACUAAAAUACAUCUAGAUACAUCCAUUCCUUCGACAAGUAUUUUCGGACGGAGGGAGUACGCAACAACGUUUUACUUAGAUGUAGUAGAUGAUUGAUUACAAAACAACUAUCCAUAAAUUGGUGCAUUCUGUUUUGCAAAAUGAUCAGGUGGUGGUUAAGCUGGUAUCUUGAUCGCGGCAGAAUACUACAUCUCCAGUGUUCAGUGUCAAAGCAAAAGGAUAAUAUACAUAAGUAAUCUACCAAAAGGAAAAGUAAUCUAACCAACAAGUAAUUCUCCGUUACCACGAGUUGACCAUGGCUAUGCCAGAAACAAGGAGAGAAUAGAAAACCUCAAUAGCAAUGAUGCUGCUACUAUUUCCAUUUCUUAAACAUUAGUUAGGAGUUCAUCUAAUUGGAGUCCAGCUCCAGCUGCCUAAAAAAAGGUAAAAGGAGCAAACAGACACAAAAUAAAUGAAACUAAGAGAGAACUAAACCGCAAAAUAAAAUUGGGACGUUGUGUGUUUCUGCUUUGGGGCCGCAUGAAUCCAUUAUGGAUUAAAAGCAUUCUAUAAGCCAAAUUCCAUGCCUUCUACAGAGGGAGUACUGCCCAUGGGCUCUCUAUAGUUGAAUUUGUCAAUUAAGUAGAUGCUUUAAUUAACUUGUAAGUAAAUAGACGAACCAUAUUUUGUUUGAACUAAGCAGUUGCUGCUAAUAUAAUUCUCUCCAGCAAUAUCAGUUUCGGAUAAUAUAAUCUGCAUAUUACUUUCUAUGUGUUUAAGCAUGUUCAAACUCGGUACAAAUGUAAUAAUGGAUAUAUUUUGAUUUGAUAACUUGAUGUCUUAAUUGUUCUGGCUAGAUCCUGGACCUUAUGAUAUCUACCUAUAACCAGUGAUACGUUUCUGCCUUUUGGCUGGAUGUCUACUUCUUCUCUCAAGGCCACAGUAGCCAGUAGGUGCGGGCAGGUGUGGCUAGGAAGAAGGUCCCGGAGGCAGCGGACUGGACAUCGGGUGUGAGCGGCCGAAGAGACUGGGACCGGCGAGUGGCAACAGCUGGCUGGAUGCGGCGGGAUGAGCCGGUAGAAGAAAGCAGGUAAGCAGCGGCGGCCUACAUGUCUAUGGUUGGUACAUGCCGCCAUCUAAAACACUUACAAUGAACAUCAAUGUUUCUGAGCUUUGCUUGUUGAGCCUGUCGUUGCCAUGUAAGCCAGCCACGAAGUGUUCAGAAAAUAUCUGAAGUUAUAUUCUACAGUAGAAUCUAAUCACCUUAUUGUGGUUGUUUUCUGUGUCAGUCAUUAUUUGGAUAACAUCCUAUUGGAGAAUAUCGGUGAUGUUAAGACAUUGCAAGCAUUAUUUGAACUCGAAGCACUUCUUCUUACAAGUAUGCUCAUUUUAUAAUCGUUUCCUUGGUUGUGGUGGAUUAUUUAGUGAAUAUAAUUCCUUUUUUAGGUCAUUGCAUGAAAAAUAAGAAUACUUAUAUCACUGAAUUACUGGUGAUUUUCUAUCGGAAGCUAGUUCAGUUAGGCGCUUCUAACGUCUUAAGCUCUAUUUCUCUUCAGUUGCCCUUAAUUACCAGAUGUUGGGUAUUUUCUUCCAUGAAACUGCUCUUCAGUUUGAUAUAAUCUGCAGGAGCAAUCCAGGAGCAUGGCGUGUCACCUAUGUCCUAAUCAAGUGUGUAAUCUCCUAUUGAUUUUGCCUACUGAAUUAUAACAAGUUUUGAACUUUGUUGACUGAUUUUCCUUAUCCUGCUUGUUAGCUUUUCAUGUCAUUCUGCACGCUGCUCAUAGUGUGCAUUCCUUGUUAUUUGCUAAUGGUUGUACUGUACAAAGCUUGGUCUGUUAUUGAAACACAUAAGUGCGGCAGCAAAUUCAUAAUGUGCAUUUCUUGUUAUUUACUAAUGGUUGUACUAAACAAAGCAUGGUCGAAACACAUCCUUUAGUGGGGCACACUUAUAUAUGUCGAUUUUUCCUCCAGCUGUGUAUUACAUAUUGUGAUAAUUGUACGAAGGCUGCCAUAAAAGACACACAUGUCUUUAGAUCAGCAAUAUGCCAGGCAAAUAAUGGUCGAAACACAUACCUUAAUUUCUACUCUGUGUUCAGGCCCUAGCAGAGCUUGAACCUUCUUCAACAAAUAAUGGUAACCGAGUCUUAGUCGUCACUGGACCACAAUUCUUGAUAUCCUUCCAUGGACACUGGAAGUAAUAUGAGCUACAGAUAUGCAUCUCAAUGGGGGGUUAUUUCUUUCCUCAACAAGUUAUAGUAUAACAGGAGAGGUAAAGUGAACACACACCUUUGGUUUUAUGGUUCAUAGAACGUCACUGUAAUAUGUUUUAGGCUAAGCCGAAGCGGCGUUGGCACUGAAGAACUUCAGUCUUAUUCUGGAGUCUGAUGCAUUACAAAUUAUUGCUGUAUAUUGAUCUUGUACUCACAUGAAUAGGGUAAUGAUGCUGACCUGUGGCUUCACCUUCCAUGGAAAACUCUGGCACACCUUCCAUGGAAAACUCUGACUUGCCAGGAGGUGGUCGUCGCUUCCAGAGAUCGUCGCCGAUCCAGUAGUCGCUUCAAGAGACCGUCUCUCGAUCUGGUCGUCGCUUCCAGAGAUCGUCGCCCAGCCCGGUCGUCGCUUCCAGGGAUGGGGAUGCCUUCACCAAAUGAGGCAAAAUCUGGCUCGCAGAUAUGGGUCGUCCAUCUGGAAGGUUUCGGUUGUAUACAUGGAAAGAAUCCAACUUGAUAUGUGGAAGGUCUAGGCUGCAUACACGGAAAGACUACGUGAUCAUGAAUUGUGAUAUGAUUUCUACUAUACAUGGAAUACAUGUUAUGUGCAAAAGGAAAAGAAUUUGUUAGGGGUAUCGAUG